rnacentral:lncRNA from 1 species
CUUGAUGAAAUUCAAAAAAUUAAUGGCUCUGAAGGAUUUUUCUCAACCUGAGGAUGAGAUUCCAAAAUAAAUGGCUCCGAAGAACUAUCCAGAAUAACAAUGUUUACCUUUGACGUUAUAAAAAUAUACCAGCCACUCUAUGGACAUGUAAAUACAUACAUCUUCAUUGUGUAGUAGUCAUGUAUCAUUCUGCUAUUUGAUUAAAAUUGUCCCUAAAAGCAUUUAAACAAAGACCAGUAUUAAUAUGAAGGAAAACAAAUGAAGUGUCUUGUAAAAGGGCCUGCUCUUCAAUAGAAAGGGAAAGGGGGAGACUUGAUUUCUGUGGGAGACGGGAAAAUGUUGUUGACUGGUGGGGUUUCUUUCUUCGAAUGGAAGAUAGGUAAAAGUAAAUGGAAAUGUAGAUAGAGAGAAUAUAUAUAUAUAUAUAUAUAUAUAUAUAUAUAUAUAUAUAUAUAUAUAUAUAUAUAUAUUUUACCUCAUGAUCAUCUGGAAACCACCUUGUGAACAGUAGAGAACCAGUUCCAAUCAUGAUUCAACUGGCAGCAAUCUUUGGCUCUGAUGGAGCUGCUCAUUGAACUGGUUGGGCCACAACUUGAAGGGGAGUCACUGCUACUAGGCUUUUUUAG